GCCUGGGUGGCUCAGUGGGUUGAGCAUCUGACCUUGGCUCAGGUCAUGAUCUCACGGUCCGUGGGUUCAAGCCCCACAUCAGGCU
rnacentral:tRNA from 1 species